rnacentral:rRNA from 1 species
UACUAGAGUAGCACUCGCAUAUCAAUAAGCGGAGGAAAAGAAACUAACUAGGAUUCCCUUAGUAACGGCGAGUGAAGCGGGAAGAGCUCAAAUUUGAAAUCUUCAAGGUUUUACCUUGACGAAUUGUAGUUUAAAGAAGUCGUUUUCUGUUGGAGUUUUGGUAAAAGUUCUUUGGAAUAGGACAUCAUAGAGGGUGAGAAUCCCGUAUUUGACCAUUAUUUCCAGCUGUGUGAUACACUUUCAAAGAGUCGGAUUGUUUGGAAUGCAGUCCAAAAUGGGUGGUAAAUUUCAUCUAAAGCUAAAUAUUGGCGAGAGACCGAUAGCGAACAAGUACCGUGAGGGAAAGAUGAAAAGAACUUUGAAAAGAGAGUUAAACAGUACGUGAAAUUGUCAAAAGGGAAGCGUUUGACACCAGUGUUGUUUUCUCGAAAAUCAAUUAAAAAUGAUGGGAUUUUGUGUUGUAUUGACUUUAUCAGCUUUCUGCACUUUUUUCCUAUCUUUUUUAAUGCACUUUUCGUUUAACAAGUCAACAUCAAUUUCUUUUGCUGUAAAAGGGUCAUUGGAAGGUGGCUUUCUUUUCGGAGAAAGUGUUUAUAAGCCUUUGACUUCUGCAGUCGGAGAGAUUGAGGUCUGCAGCGUAGAUCCUUCGGGGUUAGAUACAUUUGUGCUAAGCUAUAGUUCUUUAUAGACAACUUGUUGACUAUAAUCAAUCCUGUAACUUACUCGCUUAUGCUAUUUUACCUACGCUUAGGAUGUUGAUAGUCACAGCGUUAC